rnacentral:lncRNA from 10 species
AUGGAAGCAAGGCAACCAGUGAGGAGACUAUUGCAGUGAUUUCACAUGUGAGGUAAUUGGAAUUUGACCUAGGUUCGCAGCAAGGGAGCGUGUGAUUCGGGAUAGAUUGUGCAGGUAGACCUAGCAAAAUUUGCUGAUGGAUUGAAUAUUGGAUAUGAGAGAAAAAAAGAAGUCAAAAAUGACUCUAAGAGGAAAAAAGCAAAGUUAACCUCACUUAAGUGAUACAAUACCUGUUCUUGCUCUCCCACAUCAGAGUCCUAUUCCUCUCCAUGGUGUCUGAGGCAGCACCUCUGUGAUUCCCUGAUGUCCUGAGUGAUCCUUUUGACCAAUCUGGGUCCUCUACUGUAACACAGAUCUCCUGGAUGUGCAAGUGACAUUCUCCAUCUUCUUUUCACCUGGUGUGUGAAUAAUGGGGUGUGAAGAAAGAAAGCAAAAUAUUCUCAUGUCUGUCCUUAACAUCAUAGGAACCUGAUCUUUCUACUGGAAGCCUGGUAAGAAAAAUCCACAUCGUGACACGGAAGAGAUGGAGGAAGAAGAGAAAACAAAAGGUCAGAGAUGUAGCCCUACAUAGCUGAUUUUAAAAGGAACUUAAAAUUUUACUUUGGCUAAAAUUGACCUCUCCUGUAAUUUAAUCCAAACCUCUAUUGCUUGUGUGUGGCCAAGUUCAGUAGUCUUUGGAGUCUCACUUCUCUAAUUAUCCAAAUGCAUUUGUUGAAGCCCCAUCCCCUGCCUCCUCCAAAUCCCUUAAUAGGUUUGAUUCUGCUCACUGCUCAUUGCUAUUUUCAUGGUGCCGCUGAAUUCCGCUCUCCUUCUCUGUUUCUAGCCUUUUCAACAUUGCUUUCUCCUCUCAUCCCUGGCAUGAAACACAGAUGCUGGUUAUUCAAUCUCUAAAGCACUGUUCUUUUAAGAAUAAACUUUUACUGAAGAAUGGGGGAUAAAAGAUGGAGCGUAAGCUCAGAACAGCACAGGGAGAAAAUGUACAAGUAAAACUAAGUUAUUUAGUUUAGAGCUUCUUGGUCAGACCCUCCUUAGUCCUGCUUGCCAAUUUGUGCUAGAUUAUUUUUUUCCUGGUGACUGUUUCCCGCACCUCUCCUCCCCAUUCAGGGACCCCAAAGCAUGUUCUUCAGUGACCAGGAAAAUAUUUUAUAUUCUUAAUACUUCAUUAUGGAGAAAAAUUUAUUUCAUUUUGUAUAACCACUGUGUGUUAGUUUCCCAUGGCUUCCUUAACAACUUACUACAAACUGGGUGGCUUAAAGCAACAGAAAUUUAUUUUUCUCAGUUUUGGAGGCCAGAAAUCUGAAAUCAAGGUGUCAGGAAGACCAUGCUCUUUUCAGAGGCUCUAGAGAAGAUUCAUUUUUCUGCCUCCCUCCAGCUUCUUGUGGCUCCAGGCGUUCUUUGAUUCUCCUUGGCUUGUGGCUGCAUCACUGAUUUCCGCUUCCGUGUUCAUGUGGCUCUUCUUCCGCGUGUCUUCUCCUUUCUCUUACAAGGACACUUCGUUGCAUUCAGGGCCCACUCAGGUAAUUCAGGAUGAUCUCAUGCCAAGACCCCUAAUCUAAUUACAUCUACAAAGAUCCCUUAUCCAAGUAAGGUCACCUUCACGGGUUCUGGGAAUUAGGAUUUAGGCAUAUCUUUUGGGGAGCCAUCAUUCAAUGCACGACAUAAUCUAAACAGACUCCAGUUUUCUCAGCUUUAACAGAGACAAUCAAUCAAAUAAGUUUUUGAUUUAAUUUAAAAAUAAAAACAGUAUUUCUGUCUCUCAGAAUAAUUCUGCAGCCCAGUUCUUAGAGCAAAUUACAGUUAGAUUUAAAAGAAUGCUUUUCUUCUCAUUUUAAAGAUUUCUCUUUAAAAAUUGUUAAAAUGACCUAACAUUUUAAAAGACGGAAAAGUAAUUGUAAUAUCAAAAACUUAACACAACUACAUAUUUAUACAAAUGCCUUUAUAAUCUUUGUGUAUAUGUGUGUAUAUAUACAUGUGAAUGUAUAAAUACAUACUUGUAAUCAUGAUGUACUUAACAACUGCAGAUUGUGUUUAAUCUUAGCAUAUUAAAUAAGUUUUUUCAAUGUUUUAACGUAUGUUUUAAUUUACCACUUUUUAAUUUUUUAAUCUUAAUGAUUUAAGAAAGUAUUAGUCAUUGUAGAAAAUACAAAUAAACUAAAAGAAAAAUGAAUCACCUGAAAUUCUUUUAAAAAAGAAAGCCAAUCUGGAGACACAUACAUCUGUUUUGUUUUGUUUUGUUUUGUUUUUUGAGACGGAGUCUCGCUCUGUGGCCAGCCGGGAGUGCAGUGGAGCGAUCUCAGCUAACUGCAGGCUCCCUCUCCUGGGUUCAAGUGAUUCUCUUGCUUCAGCCUCUUGAGUAGCUGGUAUUACAGGCAUGCGGCCCCACACCCAGAUAAUUUUUGUAUUUUUAGUAGAGACGGGGUUUCACCAUGUUGGCCAGGAUGGUCUCAAUCUCCUGACCUUGUGAUCCACCUGCCUCGGCCUCCCAAAGUACUGGGAUUACAGGCGUGAGCCACUGCACCCAGCCUCUGUAUUUUUUAAUUUAAUUAUAUCUUCAUGUUUGUAUGAAUCUAUAUCUGUAGCUGUAUCUACAUUUAUUUAGUUUUGGCUAUAACCCCAUUUCAGGAACUAGUUGACUAAAAAAUAAACUUCUAUUGUUUUUGAAUUAUUACAUAUUUUGUGGUCUUUUAAAAAGUACUGCAACCUCCUCUAUGAAUGAAUACACUUGUUUUUAUAAGUUUUGAAACAUAUUGUUGAAUGACAUUUCUCAAAGCCUAAGCACAGAUGAUAAUCCCUACUGCUUCUUAACCAAGAUUAUAAUGACAAUCUUAGAAUCAAAUGUUAUCAAUUUUAAUAUUUAUUAGAGAAUGUCUGACAACACUUUCUAGAGAUUCUCUUAUUUUAUCAUGUUGCCAAUUUUCCUAAAAAGUGUUAAGUGAGAUUGUUAAGGCUACAAUGGAUGCAAAUAAUGUUAAUACUAUAAUGAAUGCAAAAUUAUUAAUUUAACCAUUCUUCCAUCAUUAAACCUUGUAUAUAUUUCUAAUUUUUUAUUGUUAUGUUUAUACAUAUUGAUUUCUCUGCAGCUAAAUUAUUCAGUUACAUAAAUUUCCCAGAAAUGUGGGUAUUCAGGGAAAUUGUGGAAAUAAAUCUAGUCUUCAUACAGAUUGCAGUUUGCCUUUUAUAAGGGUUAUAUGAAGACAGUUUCAUCAGAGUAUAAGAGUAAACCGGUUUUACCUCAAGUUCAUUAUCAUUGUUGUAUUUUGAUAUUAACAUCAGUAUUUUUAAUAUAAAAGUAAUAGAAUUCCACCAUAAGAUUAGUUUAAUUGCAUUGCUUCUGUCUCAGAAUUGAAGUUUAUAUAAGUUCCUAAAUAGCUUUAAACUCAUUUAAUGUAAUUUAUUUUUGUCUACUUAUUUUUGGG